UACGGAGGGUGCUAGCGUUGUUCGGAAUCACUGGGCGUAAAGGGCGUGUAGGCGGUCUGUUAAGUCUGAUGUGAAAUCCCCUCGCUCAACGAGGGAACUGCGUCGGAUACUGGCAGACUUGAGUACCGGAGAGGAAGGUGGAAUUCCCGGUGUAGCGGUGAAAUGCGUAGAUAUCAGGAAGAACACCGGUGGCGAAGGCGGCCCUCUGGACGGAUACUGACGCUGAGACGCGAAAGCGUGGGGAGCAAACAGG
rnacentral:rRNA from 1 species